GGAAUAUAAGUGAAUCAUGGGGUGGUUUUCCUCAUACUGUUCUCAUGGCAGUGAAAAAGUCUCACAAGAUCUGAUGGUUUAAUAAGGGGUUUCCUUUUUCACUUGGCUUUCAUUCUCCUUAUCUACCACCAUGUAAGACAUGCCUUUCGCCUUCCACCGUGAUUAUGAGGCCUCCCCAGCCACGUGGAACUCAUACACUUAAUAAUUCAUUACCUAUUAAGCUUCUUCUCAGCUGAGGUCAUGCAAAAAUGACUCACUUGCAUAUGAUACUUUCCUUGAGGAAUUAAACCAUAAACUGCCUUUGAUCAAGCUACAGUUUUGAACUGAUUACAGCUUUUGAAGCCUCAGAAGAUUUAAAGACCCACAUUGUUAACAAUGGUGUUUUAGGUGUGUGGCGUAUUAGAGGAGUCGGCUAAUUCUAAGUCCUCAAGUGCUCAGAAAACAACAUUAAAAAGUCUGACAUUUGAAAAGUAUGGAAUUAAACAUCAUGGAACUGGCUUUAAGAAGGUAUCCAUUCGUGGCAUGAAAAUGUGAAGAACUUUCUUUCUUUGCAAUGUGAGUUCAAGGAAACGCCCAAGAGUGGAUGUUCCAUCGUAAAUGCUCUGCCCCCAGCUUUUCAAAGGACACAGAAAUUGCACCCAGCAAAGAUGUCCUGUCAAAAUGAUUUAAAAGAAGAAAAAGAAAGUUGCUAGAGGGGAACUGGUACUCCAGAUCAAAAAACAAUUUUAAGUGGUCUAUUUUGGUGGUCUGUGUUGAGACAUAUAACAGCCCAGGCUGCUGUUUUUCCAAGAGGUUAAAUUUCAAAAAGAGGAAACAACAGCAAACAGGCUGCCAAUUUACUCAACAAUGUCACAACUGGCUGGAGCUCUGUUCAAAGCAAAACCGCUGAUUUACAAAUUCCUGGAUUUACUCUUAAAUAUUAACACUUCUUAGGAAACUUUAGACCUUACAUGUCACAUUUAUGACUCCUAGGCAGACACAACCCUCUCCAAACACAUGGUCCUCAUGACAACUCUUUGCCAUGUAUUUCAGCCCCACUAAGGGAAGCCACUGUCAACUCAACCUGUGAUGCCAAGAAGCAGCCCAGGUACCAAGGGACAUAGACUGGAGUCAACAUUAGAUGCGUUUCUGUAUGGUGUAGCUUGGAGGAGGAUGUUUACAGCACAAUUCCGCAAUAAUAUGCUGUAGCAGACAGAAGUUUCCCUUCUAUCAGACAAAGAACUAGUCAGGGAAGGCAAGCUGGCUAGACCACGGUUCAGUUUUUCUCAUCUCCUUUCUGCAAGUGGAAAAUCUGCUGGCUGGCAGUGGAAAUAAUAGGGAAACCACCUCAGAAUGUUGGAGAAGAGGAUGGGGGAGGAGUUGCAGCUCAGGAAUCCUUCAAAGAAGACAUGUGGGGAGAGGAAGACAGCACACAGAAGCAGGGAGAAGUUAAGAGUAUGAACCUUACCAACAGGUAAAAAUGUGUCAUAUUAAUUUUUUCAACAUCAACAAACACGUCAAAAGAUGGAGCACUGAAAGCUGCAUUUUAAACAAAUGCCCCAGUCCCACUGAGAAGUGACAGCAUGCUGGCAGCCCUCGCAGCCCUCGCUCGCUCUUGGCACCUGCCCUUGGCACCUCCUCGGCCUCAGCGCCCACUCUGGCCGCGCUUGAGGAGCCCUUCAGCCUGCCGCUGUACUGUGGGAGCCCCUUCUUGGGAUGGCCGAGGCUGGAGCCGGCUCCCUCAGCCUGCGGGGAGGUGCGGAGGGAGAGGCAUAGGCGGGAACCGGGGCUGCCCGCGGCACUUGCGGGCCAGCUAGAAUUCUGGGUGGGCUUGGUGGGCCCGGCACUUGGAGUGGCCAGCCGGCCCCGAGCAGUGAGGGCUUAGCACUUGGGCCAGCAGCUGCGGUGGGUGCGCCGGGUCCCCCAGCGGUCUCGGCCCACUGUCGCUGCGCUAGAUUUCUCGCCGGGCCUUAGCUGCCACCCCGCAGGGCAGGGCUCGGGACCCAAAGCCCGCCAUGCCUGAGUCCCGCCCCUCCCCGCCCCCCC
rnacentral:lncRNA from 1 species